rnacentral:siRNA from 1 species
CAAUUCAGGCUCUGGAGACUC